rnacentral:rRNA from 1 species
UACGGGAGGCAGCAGUGGGGAAUAUUGGACAAUGGGGGAAACCCUGAUCCAGCGACGCCGCGUGAGUGAAGAAGUAUUUCGGUAUGUAAAGCUCUAUCAGCAAGGAAGAUAAUGACGGUACUUGACUAAGAAGCCCCGGCUAACUACGUGCCAGCAGCCGCGGUAAU